ACUGACGCUAAAGCUCGAAAGUGCGGGUAUCGAACAGGAUUAGAUACCCUGGUAGUCCGCACGGUAAACGAUGGAUGCCCGCUGUUUGCGAUAUAAUGUAAGCGGCCAAGCGAAAGCGUUAAGCAUCCCACCUGGGGAGUACGCCGGCAACGGUGAAACUCAAAGGAAUUGACGGGGGCCCGCACAAGCGGAGGAACAUGUGGUUUAAUUCGAUGAUACGCGAGGAACCUUACCCGGGCUUGAACUGCACAGGAAGGAUACAGAGAUGUUGACGCCCUUCGGGGCCUGUGUGGAGGUGCUGCAUGGUUGUCGUCAGCUCGUGCCGUGAGGUGUCGGCUUAAGUGCCAUAACGAGCGCAACCCCUUUCGUCAGUUGCCAUCAGGUAGAGCUGGGCACUCUGGCGACACUGCCACCGUAAGGUGUGAGGAAGGUGGGGAUGACGUCAAAUCAGCACGGCCCUUACGUCCGGGGCUACACACGUGUUACAAUGGCCGGUACAGAGCGUCGGCGCUUGGCAAUAAGCGUCCAAUCGCAAAAGCCGGCCUCAGUUCGGAUUGGGGUCUGCAACCCGACCCCAUGAAGCUGGAUUCGCUAGUAAUC
rnacentral:rRNA from 1 species